rnacentral:snoRNA from 1 species
CGGCUGUAGCCAUAGCAAUAAUUUUUGAGAAGUUUACUGGCCGGUUGUUGUUUCUUUUCAUCGACAAAUCUGCUUACCGAACUUUUCACAUUU